rnacentral:rRNA from 1 species
UACGAGUGCCCCAAGCGUUAUCCGGAAUCAUUGGGCGUAAAGGGUGUGUAGGCGGUGUGGUUAGUCUUCUGUCAAAAUCCGUAGCUUAACUUCGGACUCGCAGAGGAAACGGCCACACUCGAGGGUGCGAGAGGUAGAUGGAACUCAUGGAGUAGGGGUGAAAUCCGUUGAUAUCAUGGGGAACACCAAAUGCGAAGGCAAUCUACUGGCGCACUUCUGACGCUGAAACACGAAAGCGUGGGUAGCGAACGGG